rnacentral:rRNA from 1 species
AUUGAACGCUGGCGGCAUGCCUAACACAUGCAAGUCGAACGGCAGCACGCACUAGCUUGCUAGUGUGGUGGCGAGUGGCGCACGGGUGAGUAAUACGUAGGAAUAUACCUUGAAGAGGGGGAUAACUUGGGGAAACACAAGCUAAUACCGCAUAAACUCUAAGGAGGAAAGCUGGGGACCAUAUGGCCUGGCGCUUUAAGAUUAGCCUACGUCCGAUUAGCUAGUUGGUGAGGUAAAGGCUUACCAAGGCGACGAUCGGUAGCUGGUCUGAGAGGAUGAUCAGCCACACUGGGACUGAGACACGGCCCAGACUCCUACGGGAGGCAGCAGUGGGGAAUAUUGGACAAUGGGGGCAACCCUGAUCCAGCGAUGCCGCGUGUGUGAAGAAGGCCUACGGGUUGUAAAGCACUUUCGGUGGGGAGGAGGACUUAAAGGUUAAGAGCUAAUUAGGUUGGACGUUACCCACAAAAGAAGCACCGGCUAACUCCGUGCCAGCCGCCGCCGUAA